UCCUCCAAGGCUAAAUACUCCUGACUGACCGAUAGUGAACCAGUACCGUGAGGGAAAGGCGAAAAGAACCCCGGCGAGGGGAGUGAAAAAGAACCUGAAACCGUGUACGUACAAGCAGUGGGAGCACGCUUAGGCGUGUGACUGCGUACCUUUUGUAUAAUGGGUCAGCGACUUAUAUUCUGUAGCAAGGUUAACCGAAUAGGGGAGCCGAAGGGAAACCGAGUCUUAACUGGGCGUUAAGUUGCAGGGUAUAGACCCGAAACCCGGUGAUCUAGCCAUGGGCAGGUUGAAGGUUGGGUAACACUAACUGGAGGACCGAACCGACUAAUGUUGAAAAAUUAGCGGAUGACUUGUGGCUGGGGGUGAAAGGCCAAUCAAACCGGGAGAUAGCUGGUUCUCCCCGAAAGCUAUUUAGGUAGCGCCUCGUGAAUUCAUCUCCGGGGGUAGAGCACUGUUUCGGCAAGGGGGUCAUCCCGACUUACCAACCCGAUGCAAACUGCGAAUACCGGAGAAUGUUAUCACGGGAGACACACGGCGGGUGCUAACGUCCGUCGUGAAGAGGGAAACAACCCAGACCGCCAGCUAAGGUCCCAAAGUCAUGGUUAAGUGGGAAACGAUGUGGGAAGGCCCAGACAGCCAGGAUGUUGGCUUAGAAGCAGCCAUCAUUUAAAGAAAGCGUAAUAGCUCACUGGUCGAGUCGGCCUGCGCGGAAGAUGUAACGGGGCUAAACCAUGCACCGAAGCUGCGGCAGCGACGCUUAUGCGUUGUUGGGUAGGGGAGCGUUCUGUAAGCCUGCGAAGGUGUGCUGUGAGGCAUGCUGGAGGUAUCAGAAGUGCGAAUGCUGACAUAAGUAACGAUAAAGCGGGUGAAAAGCCCGCUCGCCGGAAGACCAAGGGUUCCUGUCCAACGUUAAUCGGGGCAGGGUGAGUCGACCCCUAAGGCGAGGCCGAAAGGCGUAGUCGAUGGGAAACAGGUUAAUAUUCCUGUACUUGGUGUUACUGCGAAGGGGGGACGGAGAAGGCUAUGUUGGCCGGGCGACGGUUGUCCCGGUUUAAGCGUGUAGGCUGGUUUUCCAGGCAAAUCCGGAAAAUCAAGGCUGAGGCGUGAUGACGAGGCACUACGGUGCUGAAGCAACAAAUGCCCUGCUUCCAGGAAAAGCCUCUAAGCAUCAGGUAACAUCAAAUCGUACCCCAAACCGACACAGGUGGUCAGGUAGAGAAUACCAAGGCGCUUGAGAGAACUCGGGUGAAGGAACUAGGCAAAAUGGUGCCGUAACUUCGGGAGAAGGCACGCUGAUAUGUAGGUGAAGUCCCUUGCGGAUGGAGCUGAAAUCAGUCGAAGAUACCAGCUGGCUGCAACUGUUUAUUAAAAACACAGCACUGUGCAAACACGAAAGUGGACGUAUACGGUGUGACGCCUGCCCGGUGCCGGAAGGUUAAUUGAUGGGGUCAGCGCAAGCGAAGCUCUUGAUCGAAGCCCCGGUAAACGGCGGCCGUAACUAUAACGGUCCUAAGGUAGCGAAAUUCCUUGUCGGGUAAGUUCCGACCUGCACGAAUGGCGUAAUGAUGGCCAGGCUGUCUCCACCCGAGACUCAGUGAAAUUGAACUCGCUGUGAAGAUGCAGUGUACCCGCGGCAAGACGGAAAGACCCCGUGAACCUUUACUAUAGCUUGACACUGAACAUUGAGCCUUGAUGUGUAGGAUAGGUGGGAGGCUUUGAAGUG
rnacentral:rRNA from 1 species